GGAUACGUAGCUCAGUGGUAGAGUAAGUGCUUAUCAUGCACAAGGUCCUGGGUUCAAUUCCCAGUACUUCCC
rnacentral:tRNA from 1 species